rnacentral:rRNA from 1 species
AGCAACCGCGGUAAUUCCAGCUCCAAUAGCGUAUAUUAAAGUUGUUGCAGUUAAAAGCUCGUAGUUGAAUUUCGGGGUUAGUAGAUUGGUCGUGCCACUGGUAUGUACUGGUCUUACUGAUUCCUCCUUCCUGAUGAACCGUAAUGCCAUUAAUUUGGUGUUGCGGGGAGACUGGACUGUUACUUUGAAAAAUUAGAGUGUUUAAAGCAGGCUAACGCUUGAAUACAUUAGCAUGGAAUAAUGAAAUAGGACGUUCGAUCCUAUUUUGUUGGUUUCUAGGAUUGACGUAAUGAUUAAUAGGGGUAGUUGGGGGCAUUAGUAUUCAAUUGUCAGAGGUGAAAUUCUUGGAUUUAUUGAAGACUAACUACUGCGAAAGCAUUUGCCAAGGAUGUUUUCAUUAAUCAAGAACGAAAGUUAGGGAUCGAAGACGAUCAGAUACCGUCGUAGUCUUAACCAUAAACUAUGCCGACUAGGGAUCGGAUGAUGUUAUUUUAA